CAUUGCCUUUUCUGUUUUGCCUUUGCUUUGACUUAAUGGAUUGAGCUGUCAAUCAAAUGGCUCUGGGCGGGGCUUUCUGUCCAGGUGAGUAGUCAACAUCUGAUCACAGGAUUCCUACCUGACCUCAGCUCCUAGCAUGGCUGAAGUCAAGUGAUGUCACCAUGGUUCUUCAGCUGAUUCUACCAGCAGAAACUGAAAGGACUCUGAUAGUUCAGUAAGUUAAUGUUUAUUUUCUUAUAUGUGCCGGUUUUAAUUCACUUUAUAAACAUCUGUAGAGUCAGAUAUAAUCUGUACCGUGCACUCCAGAUGUCGAUGGAAUUUAUUUCUGUGUGUUGACCAGAGAAGAGAGUUAGUGUGACAGGAGGUAGUCUCCCUCCUGGCCGCUGUUGGGCGCCGUGCCAGCGGUGCGAGUACCGUAAUCGCUGGGCGGUACCAUGCGCCCUUUAUAUUCAGGUGUGCAGCGGUGGAGCUUCCUGUCCUCCGCUCCCUGCUUGCUUCCGUGGUGGCUGUGGUUUGGCAUGACGGCGUUGGUGGACGCAGCCGUUCUCUGGUGUAUCCAGCUGUUGUGAUUGCCGUUAAGGCAUGCUGUCUGAAUACCGUGGCUGAGUGCUGGGGUGAAUUCCCCGGGGUGAAGCGGGGAUCUGCUGGAGCCCUGCUGGGCAUAGGAUCACAGGCUCGCUCUGGGUGUGUGUGAGCCGUAUUCUUGUGGCUCACAAACCUCCAGUUGCCAGGUACGUGACGGGUUGGUUUCCCCAGCCGCUAUUCUGAUUUUAUGUAAUGAGUUUUUUAACUCAGUGUUAUUUUUCUUUCCAGUUAACAGCCCGGCAUAAUCGGACUGCCACCAUCACUUCAAGCUGAGCUGCUGUUUUGGUUCUCUUUAAUAUUUGUUUGGUGAACUGUUUAUGUUUGUUUCAUUCAGUUGUUUGCGGCGACUUGGAGCGGACUUCUCAGCCCAGCAGGGCUGAGUGCCGUCUGCGUCCGCUGCCUGCAGAGGCUGGUUGUGUUGCUGCUGUGCCAGAACUUGUACAGCUGCAAGGGCUACUUCAGUUGAUGGUGUUUUGUUUUCUUUGUUAUUUGGAAAUUAAUUCAGGUAUUUCCUUUUGGUGUUUUGGUUUGCUUUGUUGCAUUAGUUUAAUUGUGUUUUUUGUUAUUUUCUUUGUGAGUUUAUUUAGCCUUAUGUAUUGAUUUAAUUCAUCAUUUAUUGUUCUUUGGUUUUGUUUUCUUUUGUCCACACCAGUUAUGGUUAGUUUGGGCACGUUUUAUUAAUCUUUGUCUCUGUCUUCUGUGUACAGGUGCUGUGGCUUACUGCGGCAGUUAUUUCCUGGUGGUGGUGUCUUCUUCACGGUCCCCCCUUUCUUUUGGUUUUGUGUGUGUGUGUAUUAUUUGCAGUGUCACGGGUGAUUCAUUUGAGGAUUCCUCUCCCCUUUUUGGUUGUCCUGCCGCAGGGUAAGCCCCAGCCUGGGUUUAUUUUAUUCCUUGUUGCCCAUUCUUUCUUUUAGUUGGUAUAUGUUAACUGGUGUGUGACAUUAUUUCCUUCCUUACAAAUUGUUAAUAAACAUUGUUAAAUUUGAA